AAAUGUCAGAGCCAGGCGCAGGCUUUGUGUUUGGUGCUGAUGCAUGGCAUUUACUCUGAAGGUUCAGGAAAGUACAUGGGCUUUGCGGGGUCUGGCUGCCCAAAUACGGGUUAAUUAGCAACAGCUGACAGCAGCAGCCCCGGCCACAGGAGAGAGGUGACCCAGACCCUUGAUAAAAAACCCUCAUGGGAGACAAAUUAUUCUGUGAAGGAAAAUAACUCAGGCUUUCCUCAUUGCCACCCUCCGCGAGAUUUUACCCCAGACCUGAGGCGGCUGUACUAACAAGACUCUGAUCUUUCUCUUUGUGUUCAAGGAUAUCCCAACUUCGUGGCGACCUAUGGCCGUGGCUACCCCGGAUUUGCUCCAAGCUAUGGCUAUCAGUUCCCAGACUAUUUGCCGGUUUCACAAGACAUAAUUUUUAUCAACUAGCUCUUAAGAGAGGCAUAGCAAAGUGGGGUUUGCUACCAUUUCUAGAGAGAGAGGACACAGUCCUGGCCUGGGCUGCCCCCGCUCCAGUCAAUGCUCACUGAAAGUCUGUCUUAGCUGC
rnacentral:sRNA from 1 species